rnacentral:rRNA from 1 species
CCCUUAGAUGUCCGGGGCCGCACGCGCGCUACACUGAAGGAAUCAGCGUGGCUUUCUCCCUGACCCGAAAGGGUUGGGAAACCCGUUGAAUCUCCUUCGUGAUAGGGAUUGGGGCUUGAAAUUGUUCCCCAUGAACGAGGAAUUCCCAGUAAGCGCGAGUCAUAAGCUCGCGUUGAUUACGUCCCUGCCCUUUGUACACACCGCCCGUCGCUACUACCGAUUGAACGGUUUAGUGAGGGCCUCGGAGUGGUCUCGGCCCGCUCUUUACCGGGCGGCGCCGUUGGUCGGGAAGACGCUCGAACUUGAUCGUUUAGAGGAAGUAAAAGUCGUAACA